rnacentral:rRNA from 1 species
UAGUCCGUACGAGCGCACCCUUGUCCUUAUUUGCCAGCACUUCGGGUGGGAACUCUAAGGAAACUGCCGGUGACAAACCGGAGGAAGGUGGGGACGACGUCCAGUCAUCAUGGCCCUUACGAGUUGGGCUACACACGUGCUACAAUGGCCGGUACAGAGGGCCGCGAACCUGCAAGGGUAAGCUAAUCUCAUAAAACCGGUCGUAGUCCGGAUCGCAGUCUGCAACUCGACUGCGUGAAGUCGGAAUCGCUAGUAAUCGCGAAUCAAAAUGUCGCGGUGAAUACGUUCCCGGGCCUU